AGAACGAACGCUGGCGGCAUGCCUAAUACAUGCAAGUCGAACGAACUCUUCGGAGUUAGUGGCGCACGGGUGCGUAACGCGUGGGAAUCUGCCCCUUGGUUCGGAAUAACAGUUGGAAACGACUGCUAAUACCGGAUGAUGACGAAAGUCCAAAGAUUUAUCGCCAAGGGAUGAGCCCGCGUAGGAUUAGCUAGUUGGUGAGGUAAAGGCUCACCAAGGCAACGAUCCUUAGCUGGUCUGGAGAGAUGAUCACGCCAC
rnacentral:rRNA from 1 species